rnacentral:rRNA from 1 species
ACGCUCGACACCUACUGGAGGCAGCAGUGGGGAAUAUUGCACAAUGGGGGAAACCCUGAUGCAGCGACGCCGCGUGAAGGAAGAAGUAUCUCGGUAUGUAAACUUCUAUCAGCAGGGAAGAAAGUGACGGUACCUGACUAAGAAGCCCCGGCUAACUACGUGCAAGCAGCCGCGGUAAUCUGAGCGGGCUGGCAAGGC